ensembl:miRNA gga-mir-1682 gga-mir-1682
GGGAAAACAAAGCCCUGACAGUUGGCCCACCCUACCGAGGCUGCCCGUGGGUCAGAUGGAGCUGAGGGUGCCC